UAGGUGUUAUGUGUCUGGACUUGUUAUUUCAGGGUUGGUCAUCAAUUAUAAUUGAUGUUUAUGGGCAUGCAUGAACAAAGACAAGAAAGGCGGUGGAUAAGCAUAACAGUAAUAACAUGGAACUGAAGUGGACGUAGGGAGAAAUGAAUGUCAGACAGGUUUUGGACUGAAUGUAUCACCAUUUUGAGUAAUGUUGCCCAAGGAGAAGAGAUAAGAAACAAAGAACAACAACCCAAAGUGUUUGUUUUUGGGAUUUGUUUCGGUAAGGAUUCAUCUGUCAUUAGGCCUUGUAUCCAUUAUAGGUGUACAUUUUUUGUUAGUCCUCGUAAAUCAUAUCAAAUUUGUUCAAUUCGUACUUACAAAGCAAUAUCCGACAUGUGAGCCUGGCCUGCACCAAAAACUUAAGAAUUGAAACUUACUCAAUACUUUUUCAUUUGCAUUUUGUAGAUCUUGGAAGCCUCCCAAAGUCAGUUUUAUUUUCAGCAUAAGGAAGCAAAGCAAAGCCAAAAGGGCCACCUUUCCUCUUUAAAUUAAUGGCCUCUUGCCAUUAGAAGAGGAAAAGUAGGAAGGAAGCAGAUUUCUCUGGAAAAGAAAGCACAGAACACUGGGAAAUGUAGUUUGAGAAGGUGAGGAGCCCUAUGCCAGAGAAUGAAAAAGGCCAUCCCCAAAACUCCAUUUCCCAGAAUUCUGCUGACAUCAGAAAGCCCCAGUCAGAAGAGGGGAGAGAUUUGUCCCUUCUGAGCAGCAGCCAGCCAGAGUUCCUAUGAAUGCCUGAAUCUACAAAGAGGAGGACUGACUGAUACUUCUAGAACUGAAGCAAGAUAAGACAACCCAAUCAUGAAUUGCUGGAAUCAUCACCUUUUGUCUCCUGGAAGUCACAUCUUUGUUAAAGUUUGGAACUGAAAUGCUGACUCAAUCAAGACUCACUAACAUCUUUUUGACCACUGUAUCUGCAAAGGAUGCUCCUCCC